AGAACGAACGCUGGCGGCAUGCCUAACACAUGCAAGUCGAACGCUUCCGGGGCUUCGGUCGCGGAGGAGUGGCGCACGGGUGAGUAGCGCGUGGGAACCUGCCCUGUUGUGGGGGAUAACCGAGGGAAACUUCGGCUAAUACCGCAUACGCCCCGGGACUUGGUCUUCGGAUUAGGUCUGGGGGGAAAGAUUGAUCGCAGCAGGAGGGGCCCGCGUCGGAUUAGCUGGUUGGUGGGGUAACGGCUCACCAAGGCGAUGAUCCGUAGCUGGUCUGAGAGGAUGAUCAGCCACACUGGGACUGAGACACGGCCCAGACUCCUACGGGAGGCAGCAGUGGGGAAUAUUGGACAAUGGGGGCAACCCUGAUCCAGCAAUGCCGCGUGAGUGAUGAAGGCCUUAGGGUUGUAAAGCUCGUUUUGGCGGGGACGAUGAUGACGGUACCGCAGAAUAACGCCCGGCUAACUUCGCGCCAGCAGCCGCGGU
rnacentral:rRNA from 1 species